AGUGAACGCUGGCGGUAGGCCUAACACAUGCAAGUCGAACGGCAGCACAGUAAGAGCUUGCUCUUACGGGUGGCGAGUGGCGGACGGGUGAGGAAUACAUCGGAAUCUACUUUUUCGUGGGGGAUAACGUAGGGAAACUUACGCUAAUACCGCAUACGACAUACGGGUGAAAGCAGGGGAUCUUCGGACCUUGCGCGAUUGAAUGAGCCGAUGUCGGAUUAGCUAGUUGGCGGGGUAAAGGCCCACCAAGGCGACGAUCCGUAGCUGGUAUGAGAGGAUGGACGGCCACGCUUGAACUGAGACGCGGUCCAGACUCCUACGGGAGGCAACAGUGGGGAAUAUUGGACAAUGGGCGCAAGCCUGAUCCAGCCAGACCGCGUGGGUGAAGAAGGCCCUCGGGUUGUAAAGCCCUUUUGUUGGGAAAGAAAAGCAGCAGGUUAAUACCCCGCUGUUCUGACGGUACCCAAAGAAUAAGCACCGGCUAACUUCGUG
rnacentral:rRNA from 1 species